AGAGUUUGAUCAUGGCUCAGGAUGAACGCUGGCGGCGCAUUUAAGACAUGCAAGUCGAACGAAAAUAUAUUUUUUGUUUACAAUGAAUAUAUUUUAGUGGCGGACGGGUGAGUAAUACGUAGAUAAUCUGCCUUCCAGAGAGAAAUAACAAGAGGAAACUCUUGCUAAUGUCGCAUAAGACCACGCUGUGGCAUCACAGAGAGGUCAAAGGGGAAACCCGCUGGAAGAUGAGUCUACGGCUGAUUAGCUAGUUGGAGAGGUAAGAGCUCACCAAGGCGAUGAUCAGUAGCCGGGCUGAGAGGCUGACCGGCCACAUUGGGACUGAGACACGGCCCAGACUCCUACGGGAGGCAGCAGUUGGGAAUAUUGGACAAUGGAGGAAACUCUGAUCCAGUGACGCCGCGUGAAGGAAGAAGGUCUUCGGAUUGUAAACUUAUUUUAUCAGGGAAGAAAAAAAUGACUGUACCUGAAGAAAAAGCACCGGCUAACUACGUGCCAGCAGCCGCGGUAAUACGUAGGGUGCAAGCGUUAUCCGGAUUUACUGGGUGUAAAGGGCGAGUAGACGGCGUUGCAAGUCAGAUGUGAAAACCUAGGGCUCAACCGUAGGACUGCAUCUGAAACUGUAAUGCUAGAGUGCAGGAGAGGUAAGUGGAAUUCCUAGUGUAGCGGUGAAAUGCGUAGAUAUUAGGAGGAACACCAGUGGCGAAGGCGACUUACUGGACUGUAACUGACGUUGAGGAGCGAAAGUGUGGGGAGCAAACAGGAUUAGAUACCCUGGUAGUCCACACUGUAAACGAUGGAUACUAGGUGUAGGCAUGAAUGUGUCUGUGCCGGCGCAAACGCAAUAAGUAUCCCACCUGGGGAGUACGGCCGCAAGGUUGAAACUCAAAGGAAUUGACGGGGGCCCGCACAAGCAGUGGAGUAUGUGGUUUAAUUCGACGCAACGCGAAGAACCUUACCAAGACUUGACAUAUACAGGAAAGACUAAGAAAUUAGUCCCCACUUCGGUGUCUGUAAACAGGUGAUGCAUGGUUGUCGUCAGCUCGUGUCGUGAGAUGUUGGGUUAAGUCCCGCAACGAGCGCAACCCUCGUGAUUAGUUGUCUCCUGGAGGAACUCUAAUCAGACUGCCGUAGUUAAUACGGAGGAAGGUGAGGAUGAUGUCAAAUCAUCACGUCCCUUAUGUCUUGGGCUACACACGUACUACAAUGGGCGUUACAAAGAGAAGCGAAACCGCGAGGUGGAGCAAAACUGAAAAAGGCGUCCCUAGUUCGGAUUGUAGGCUGAAACUCGCCUACAUGAAGCUGGAAUUGCUAGUAAUCAUAGGUCAGCAUACUAUGGUGAAUACGCUCCCGGGCCUUGUACACACCGCCCGUC
rnacentral:rRNA from 2 species